GGUGGCACAGUGGCUCUGCACUUGGCUGCUAACCAAAAGGUUGGUGGUUCAAACCCACCAACCG
rnacentral:tRNA from 1 species